GCGGGCGAGGGAGCAGAUGGUGCGGCCGCUAAUCCCCCACUGCCUGAGGGGGCCGGGGACACCUGCCACAGAAGGCCAGGGUCUCAGCGCUGGAGACGCUGAGACGGGAGAGCAGAUAAUCCUGGGCCAGGCUGGCCUGAGCUUCUGUCAGCGGAAGAGAUGGAGAGACUCCGGAGGCCAUGGGGCUCACCUGCCCCUCACACCUAGCCUGUCAUCUGCUCAGGGACAGAGGCUGUUGUAGUGAGUUCCGGGGUGGAGACCGGCUGAGGGGUGCAUCCUGAGAAAGUCAGGAGACAGACCUACACAGAGCAACGACCCCGUGAGGACACAGGGAGGAGACGGCUGUCUACACGCCGAGGAGAGAAGGCCUCAGGAGGACCAGCCCUGCCCACACCUGGGUCUGAGACUCCAGCCUCCAGGGCUGGAGACGACACUCCUGUGGCUCAAGCCCGGCCAUGGUACCUGUGUGGCGGCCUGAGCAGAGGUGGGUGGCACCUCCUGCCCUGCCUGUAGGCCCCAACACCUCCUGCCCUGCCCGUAGGCCCGGGCCAGCUAAGCCGGGGGCUGGAGCAGAGGUGGGGCGCCGAGUCCCUCUGGCUCUGCCUCACGCGGGCGACCCUGGCUACUGACCCCACCUCUGCAGCAGGAGAAAACGCCCUCCUACUCCAGCUCCUGAAGCCCUAGGGCCUGGUGCUGGGAGCCCGAGCUCCAGAGGCAGCUCUGCCCGAUGCCCCCCGAGCCGGGCACCCUGUCAGGGACGCUCCGAGGAGCCCCACGUCUGGAAAGGCUGUGGUGGGGACGGGGCAGCACACAAAGAACAGACAGCAGCAAUGACAGGGAGGACAGAUGGGCGGGGCGGAUCCAAGGCACAGGCACCGGGGGCCAAGAGCCCCUCUGCUGCGGGGACAUGGGGUAGGCUUGGGCUGCUCUAGGGCAGCUCCCGCCGUCCACAGGGCUCCCCCAGCAGAGGGGCAGGCCCCAGGGAGGAGGGGCUCCCAGGCCUGCGCUGGAGCCCAGGCCCUAGCACCAGCUGUGCGCACCGGGCAGGGUCGGGGAGGCACGGCUGACUCCGACGUCCCACCCCUGGAGGGGCCCAAUCCGCUUCUCCUCGUCCUGGAGGCCCUGCCUCCAGCACAAAAGGGACCCAGGAAACGGGAGCCCCGCCCCACUGCGGGGGCAGGCCGGGAGCAGCCCUCCAGGACCCACGAGUCCAGGCACGGGCCAACCCAGCAGCCUCUGUCUCUCUCCCAGGGCAGACCUGAGGGAGUCACUGUGGACGACGGGCGCGGACAGCCUGGCGGGCAGCUGGCAUUCGGCGCCUGACCCCUGCCUGGGCUGACACGCGUGUCCCUGCGGCAAGCAAGCCUGCAGGUGACCCUGCAAACAGUGGGGAGCAGUGGGCACACGCGCUCAGGUCACAGCCUCGGGACCGUCUCUUCUGACGGAACCAGGUCCCUCAGAGAAGCGUACAACUCUUGGUGUCCAGGGGACGUGACGGCACCCAGAGUGAAAGCAGAGGGUCAGGAACCCCAGAUGCCCAACACCUAGCCAAGCGAACAAAACUCACAGCAUCCAGCCCGGAGCAGAGGCCCACGGAGAGCUGGCUCGACGGGACCACGGGAAGGGGACAGUGCUGACUGGACCCCAGGCGGGCCCAACGCCAGGCAACCGGUCUCACACAGUGCUGAGAGGACACGCAAAGGCUAAGCCCCAAACGCACUGCCUGACAAGAGAGCUACUACGACACGUGGGAAGGAAAAGCCCCGGACGAGACGCGACCAAGAAACGGUCUGUGGGCUUGAAGACAGCAAGGAAAACUGAACAGAAGAAAACAGAGGCCAAAAAAAUAAAAUGAGUGUCAGCGGAUGGGGGGACAAACAGACUGGCCUAACACACGAGUACUCACGGGCCCGGAAGAAGAGGAGAGAAAGAGAGGGACAAGAAAAAUACUAGAAAAGAUAGACUAUAACCUUUCCACGUAUGAUAAAAAGGAUAAAUACACAAAUCUAAAAAACUCAACGGAAACCAGGUGGCAAAAAUGUAAAGAAGCCUGCGUGGAGGCACCUGGUGAUCAGAGCGCGGGGGUGCUCGGUGGCGAUACGUGUGGAGCGACCGGGUGACGAGUGUCUCGUGGGACAGAACGCACGGGAAGAUGGCGAAGCAACACCGUCGAGGUCCUGGAACAAGCUGGCAACCCAGAACCCCACAUCUGGCACAAACAUCUCCCCAAAACCCAGCAAGAUAAAACGGAAGAGGAUUCAACACUGGUAAAAAUGCAUAGCAAACAACACAAAGGGCGUCCUUCAGGCUGAAGGAGAGGAGGCUGGGGGGCCGCGUGCUGCUCGGGCCAGAUGGGGGCCACACCCCCGCCGACCCAGGGGAAGAGAGGGCACUGGGACAGCACGCUGCAGGCACCUGGUACGUGGUCAGACCCUGCCAGGCCUCCUCCUCGCCGCACCCCCUCACUUCUGGGAGACACACACCUGACACAGGGUGCCGUGGCAGACGGCACAGGAAGCCACCUGGCGUGGGGCAGCCGCUGGCUCACCUGGCCCCGAUGACAGGCUCGCGGGUGUCCUUGGAGGCGGAGUAGUCCAUGCCGUAGAAGUUGAGUCCCAGCAGGAUCUUGCUCCGCCACUUGGACUUGGGGUCCAGGACCUGGAUGCAGGCUCGCACCCAGGACAGCGGUGCGCUGGGGCCGGCCCUGUGGGGCCGAGGAGAAGUGGGUUCAGCAGCAGGCAGAGGCCUCAGACGCCCCAGGUUGGGGUGGGGCCCACACACGGAGUGGGAAGGACGGCAGCAGACAGGCGGGCCCCUGCAGUCAGCUGAGAGGCUCAGGUGAAGCCUGGGAUGGACAGAGGCAGACGCCCCCGGCCACAGGAGCACCUUCUCCUGGGCAGCGAGGCAGGCCCAGCACCACAGCCACCAUGUGGCGGCCAGGAUCGCAUAGGCGUGGAUGGAAGCCCGGGAUGGCAUUCCCAUGGGGGUGCCCGCUGCCCUGUGUCACGUGACUCCAAAAAGGAGAAGGUCGCCCAAUGCAAGGCCAAUUGCGGGCUUUGGGAAGACGAGACCGGGCCCUUCCUGUGCCUGGAACCGCGAGCUGACAAAGCGUGGCCCUGAGCAGGCUCGUGGGAAGCUGGACUUUGCCUGAGCGUCUAGGCCCCCGGUCGUGGGAGCAUCUCUGCGCCAAGCCAGAGCGCACGGGGCCCCGGGGUGCCCCCACUCACUGCUGCGCCGUGGAGUAGUCAUAGGUCAUGAGGCUGAAGCCAUCCAGCACGGGGGCCAGCUGCUCAAGCUCCUUGUGUGUGAACAUGCCCAGCUUGUUGGUCCUGCAGUGAGACGGCGUGGUCACCACACCCAGCUCGCACAGCCCCUCCAGCCCCGCCCCAGCUGACACCUGGGCUCAGCAGAGGGCACGGCAAGCCGGCCGUGUGGGCUCCCAGCUCACGCCCCUUCCUCCCACGCCAGGAAGACACCUCAGGUCACUUUCCCUGCAGAGUGGCCCAGCGCUCGGUCACAGGGGAUGGCCCGCAGCUGGGUCCUGACGGGCAGAGCCUGCCGCUGGAGGUCCAGCAGAGGCCCGGCUCCCCUCCUGCCCAGUGCACUGGAGACCGCGGUUAGCCCAGCUCCGGGAGGGCCCAUCCAUACGUGGGCACAGGUGCCCCAGGCCAGCCCCGCUUCAUCUCAGUUGCGAGCACGGUGCUAUGAGCAGAGUGCCCUCCCUCCCAAGGCCUCAGGCCUGGGGCAGGCGGGAGCCCAGGUGGCCUGUCUGCUAGACACACCUGGUCUGCUAGCCCACCCGCUCUGCCUGCAGCAGCCCCUAGGACUGCAGCCUUGUCCCAGGGGGGUCGGGGCCCUCUGCUCCCCCCAACAUGUGAGCAGAGAGAGAAUCCCUCUUCUCAGCCAGCACCUCCAAUCCCUGGGCAGGGGCAGGGGGGCCCACCGUGUGGACCUCAGCCAUGGUCACUGGUUCCACAGGGUCCAGGCAGCCCGGCCCAGGUCCCCCCGACACAUGAGGCACCUGUGGGACCUGACGACCAGCAGCACCAGCCAACGACCCCAGGACCCCAAAGCCCGCCCCCGAGGGGGGUAAAGCGACCCCAGAACCCCGAAGCCCGCCCCCGAGGGGGAUAAAGCGACCCCAGGACCCCAGAGCCCGCCCCCGAGGGGGAUAAAGCGACCCCAGGACCCCGAAGCCCGCCCCCGAGGGGGUAAAGCGACCCCAGGACCCCAAAGCCCGCCCCCGAGGGGGUAAAGCGACCCCAGGACCCCGAAGCCCGCCCCCGAGGGGGUAAAGCGACCCCAGGACCCCAAAGCCCGCCCCCGAGGGGGUAAAGCAACACUCAGUGGUGGGCACCUGCCGCGGCAGGGAGCUCGGGGACACACCUGGGGAGCAGAUGCCCUACCGGGCAGUGACAGCCAUGCUCCCUGUGGCCACACUCCAGACCGGCCCUCUAAAGUCAGCUAGAAGGCGCCAGGCCCGGCAGGCGGCGUUUUCCUCCCGGCUCAGCCCGAGAUGGAGACGG